rnacentral:rRNA from 1 species
AUUGAACGCUGGCGGCAUGCCUUACACAUGCAAGUCGAACGGUAACAGGUCUUCGGAUGCUGACGAGUGGCGAACGGGUGAGUAAUACAUCGGAACGUGCCUAGUAGUGGGGGAUAACUACUCGAAAGAGUGGCUAAUACCGCAUGAGAUCUACGGAUGAAAGCAGGGGAUCGCAAGACCUUGUGCUACUAGAGCGGCCGAUGGCAGAUUAGGUAGUUGGUGGGAUAAAAGCUUACCAAGCCGACGAUCUGUAGCUGGUCUGAGAGGACGAUCAGCCACACUGGGACUGAGACACGGCCCAGACUCCUACGGGAGGCAGCAGUGGGGAAUUUUGGACAAUGGGCGAAAGCCUGAUCCAGCAAUGCCGCGUGCAGGAUGAUGGCCUUCGGGUUGUAAACUGCUCUUGUACGGAACGAAAAGCCCCGGGUUAAUACCCUGGGGUCAUGACGGUACCGUAAGAAUAAGCACCGGCUAACUACGUGCCAGCCGCCGCGGUAA